UACGGAGGGUGCAAGCGUUGUUCGGAAUUACUGGGCGUAAAGCGCGUGUAGGCGGCCUUGCAAGUCGGAUGUGAAAGCCCUCGGCUUAACCGGGGAAGUGCAUCUGAAACUGCUUGGCUCGAGUACGGGAGAGGGAGGCGGAAUUCCCAGUGUAGAGGUGAAAUUCGUAGAUAUUGGGAGGAACACCGGUGGCGAAAGCGGCCUCCUGGACCGAUACUGACGCUGAGACGCGAGAGCGUGGGGAGCAAACAGGAUUAGAUACCCUGGUAGUCCACGCUGUAAACGAUGGGCACUAGGUGUGGGGGGUAUCCACUCCUCCCGUGCCGAAGCUAACGCAUUAAGUGCCCCGCCUGGGGAGUACGGCCGCAAGGUUAAA
rnacentral:rRNA from 1 species